UGCUUUGUGGCUUUUUCCUGCAGCUUCCAGCUCUGAGUCUCUGACAUCGUCCCCCUUUAAUUAGGCGAGUUUUUGUGCAGCAGUAACAGUCGUGAUCUUCACACUGAAACGAGAGUUCAGCACAGCGACGUUACACACAAACUCAACGCUAACAUGCAAACAGAUGUGAAACGACAUCCCCAACAUCCGCCUGGAGUGAAAUUUUUAAUUUUGCACAAAAUCAAUCACAUGACGCCUUGUUGCAAAAGCCUGUUUGUUUUUUUUUCAACAUUAUUAUUUUUUUAAAUUUUAAAGUCAUCAUAUUAAUCUCAGAUUUCGUGAUUUUUUCAUGCUUUAAUUUUGCAAAUAUAUAUACUAUCGGCCCAAAAGUUUGUCAGGAUCGUCUGCAGACUUCGCUCAAGUCGUGAAAGAUAUUUGGAUCAUACAUUUCAGUUACACAAGAAAAUCCAUUUGAAAUUGUUCUGAAGGUUGAUAUAAAUACCGUCAUCAUCGCCAUCAGUUACUUUAAAGGACGUGCAGCGUUUUGCUCUGAGCGCUCUGAGAUGAGCGCGGAGCGAGAUCACUGCAGCCGUGUUUCGGCGUGUUUUCAUCGUCACGCCUGCGACGUCUGCAAACUGUCUGUCUGCUCUCUUUCUGUUUCAGCAAAACUGUUCAGAUCAAUAUCAUUGAUGACGAAGAAUAUGAGAAAAACAAGAACUUCUUCCUAGAGAUCGGAGAGCCGCGGCUGCUGGAGAUGAGUGAGAGGAAAGCUGUGUUGCUUCAAGAAGUCGGUGGAUUUGUGAAAACAGAGAAACAGCUGUAUGGUAAGAC